rnacentral:rRNA from 1 species
GCUCCCUGAUGUUAGCGGCGGACGGGUGAGUAACACGUGGGUAACCUGCCUGUAAGACUGGGAUAACUCCGGGAAACCGGGGCUAAUACCGGAUGCUUGUUUGAACCGCAUGGUUCAGACAUAAAAGGUGGCUUCGGCUACCACUUACAGAUGGACCCGCGGCGCAUUAGCUAGUUGGUGAGGUAACGGCUCACCAAGGCGACGAUGCGUAGCCGACCUGAGAGGGUGAUCGGCCACACUGGGACUGAGACACGGCCCAGACUCCUACGGGAGGCAGCAGUAGGGAAUCUUCCGCAAUGGACGAAAGUCUGACGGAGCAACGCCGCGUGAGUGAUGAAGGUUUUCGGAUCGUAAAGCUCUGUUGUUAGGGAAGAACAAGUGCCGUUCAAAUAGGGCGGCACCUUGACGGUACCUAACCAGAAAGCCACGGCUAACUACGUGCCAGCAGCCGCGGUAAUACGUAGGUGGCAAGCGUUGUCCGGAAUUAUUGGGCGUAAAGGGCUCGCAGGCGGUUUCUUAAGUCUGAUGUGAAAGCCCCCGGCUCAACCGGGGAGGGUCAUUGGAAACUGGGGAACUUGAGUGCAGAAGAGGAGAGUGGAAUUCCACGUGUAGCGGUGAAAUGCGUAGAGAUGUGGAGGAACACCAGUGGCGAAGGCGACUCUCUGGUCUGUAACUGACGCUGAGGAGCGAAAGCGUGGGGAGCGAACAGGAUUAGAUACCCUGGUAGUCCACGCCGUAAACGAUGAGUGCUAAGUGUUAGGGGGUUUCCGCCCCUUAGUGCUGCAGCUAACGCAUUAAGCACUCCGCCUGGGGAGUACGGUCGCAAGACUGAAACUCAAAGGAAUUGACGGGGGCCCGCACAAGCGGUGGAGCAUGUGGUUUAAUUCGAAGCAACGCGAAGAACCUUACCAGGUCUUGACAUCCUCUGACAAUCCUAGAGAUAGGACGU